ACUUCUGCCAGCAGUAUUCCACAGCUCGUGCACAGGAUUGGAGGAAGUGUAGUGUGGUGGUGAGCCAAGAACAAUUGCAGAUGGAGGUGGGACCUUCCGGGAGAGAUGUGUCCAUGGCGUCGCUAUGGGUCGGUGUUGACAGUGGAAGACAAGACAAAUACAGAUAAAUUCCUGAACUUAGGAACAGAACACCCAUGAAAUAACACGGGUGUCGCCCCUCUGAUGCCAUGUUAGGACCAAUUUGCCAAGUUGGGAAACUUGAAAGUUUCGAUGAAACUUGCACAAAAGAAUACCGAUGGCUUGUAAUCUGCUCCCAUUUGCCCUGCCGUCGCGACACCGUAUUGCUUGGGGUUCUUCUGUUCCUGAAUUUACAGAACGUUUUUUUUUCCUCCUAGAAGAUAGAAAAAUGAAUUCAGUUUAUUGAGGGUGAGAAUUUAAUUGAGUCUCCAAACAUGGGCCUUUUUAGGAGAAAAGAAUCUGGGAAUGAUUGUGGACUGUAUAAAAGAGCACACGCCUGGGUGUUGGAGGACUAAUUAAAAGU